rnacentral:tRNA from 1 species
GGAAGGCCAGAGACAAUAAGUACUGCUAAUCCUUAUUACCCGCGGUUAAAAUCCGCGGCUUCCUC